CGGGGCGUGGCCAAGUGGUAAGGCACCGGGCUUUGGUCCCGAGAUCGCAGAUUCGACUCGUGCCGCUCCAACCA
rnacentral:tRNA from 1 species